rnacentral:tRNA from 1 species
UCCGGCAUGGUCUAGUGGCUAGGAUACCUGCUCGUCACCCAGGAGGCCCGGGUUCGAUUCCCGGUGUCGGAA